GCCUACGGGGGGCAGCAGUGGGGAAUAUUGCACAAUGGGGGAAACCCUGAUGCAGCAACGCCGCGUGAGUGAAGAAGUCAUUCGUGAUGUAAAGCUCUAUCAGCAGGGAAGAAAAUGACGGUACCUGAGUAAGAAGCCCCGGCUAACUACGUGCCAGCAGCCGCGGUAAUACGUAGGGGGCAAGCGUUAUCCGGAUUUACUGGGUGUAAAGGGCGUGUAGCCGGGCCGGCAAGUCAGAUGUGAAAUCCCA
rnacentral:rRNA from 1 species